rnacentral:rRNA from 1 species
UACGGGCGUAUGGUGGAUGCCUUGGCAUGCUGAGCCGAUGAAGGACGUGUGAGGCUGCGUUAUGCCUCGGGGAGUUGCCAACAAAGCGUUGAUCCGAGGAUGUCCGAAUGGGGAAACCCAGCACCAGUUGUGUGGUGUUACCCGCAGGUGAAUUCAUAGUCUGUGUGGGGGUUGACGCGGGGAAGUGAAACAUCUCAGUACCCGUAGGAGAAGAAAACAAUUGUGAUUCCGUGUGUAGUGGCGAGCGAUAGCGGAUGAGGCUAAACCGUGUGCGUGUGAUACCUGGCAGGGGUUGCGUGUGCGGUGUUGUGGGGCGCAA